UACGUAGGGUGCAAGCGCUAAUCGGAAUUACUGGGCGUAAAGCGUGCGCAGGCGGUUGUGCAAGACAGAUGUGAAAUCCCCGGGCUCAACCUGGGAACUGCAUUUGUGACUGCACGGCUAGAGUGUGUCAGAGGGGGGUAGAAUUCCACGUGUAGCAGUGAAAUGCGUAGAUAUGUGGAGGAAUACCGAUGGCGAAGGCAGCCCCCUGGGAUAACACUGACGCUCAUGCACGAAAGCGUGGGGAGCAAACAGG
rnacentral:rRNA from 1 species